rnacentral:rRNA from 1 species
CGUGUAGGCGGAAUGUCAGGUGUCGUGUGAAAGCCCCGGGCUCAACCCGGGAAUGGCAUGGCAAACCGGCAUUCUUGAGGCAGGUAGAGGUGACUGGAACGACUGGUGGAGCGGUGAAAUGCGUAGAUAUCAGUUGGAACGCCAGAGGCGAAAGCGAGUCACUGGACCUGUCCUGACGCUGAGACGCGAAAGCGUGGGGAGCAAACAGGAUUAGAUACCCUGUAGUCC